GCAGUGUACCCGCGGCAAGACGGAAAGACCCCGUGAACCUUUACUAUAGCUUGACACUGAACACUGGUCCUUGAUGUGUAGGAUAGGUGGGAGGCUUUGAAGCGUGGACGCCAGUCUGCGUGGAGCCGUCCUUGAAAUACCACCCUUUAAUGGCUGGUGUUCUAACGUAGACCCGUGAUCCGGGUUGCGGACAGUGUCUGGUGGGUAGUUUGACUGGGGCGGUCUCCUCCCAAAGAGUAACGGAGGAGCACGAAG
rnacentral:rRNA from 2 species